CAAGUCGAGCGAAUCUGAGGGAGCUNGCUCCCAAAGAUUAGCGGCGGACGGGUGAGUAACACGNGGGCAACCUGCCUGUAAGACUGGGAUAACUCCGGGAAACCGGGGCUAAUACCGGAUAAUAUCUAUUUAUACAUAUAAUUAGAUUGAAAGAUGGUUCUGCUAUCACUUACAGAUGGGCCCGCGGCGCAUUAGCUAGUUGGUGAGGUAACGGCUCACCAAGGCGACGAUGCGUAGCCGACCUGAGAGGGUGAUCGGCCACACUGGGACUGAGACACGGCCCAGACUCCUACGGGAGGCAGCAGUAGGGAAUCUUCCGCAAUGGACNAAAGUCUGACGGAGCAACGCCGCGUGAGUGAUGAAGGUUUUCNGAUCGNAAAACUCUGUUGUUAGGGAAGAAC
rnacentral:rRNA from 1 species